UUGUAUUGAUAUGUUGGUAAUAGGAAAGUACCUGUUGCUCUAGACAUAUUUGAUGACAAAGUGGAAUAAAAUAGUAUAUAAUUUUUUUUGUAACGUCAUCGUUAAUGUCAUUCAGUUCUAUACAGACAUACCUUCCGAUCUUUUAUUCAUAAUUUUUAACAGUGUAGUUUAGGUCCCUUCUUCGAAAUUUUUUAUUAUGAAAUUAUAAUAUGAGGGAAAGACAAAAGUAAUAGUGGCCACUGCACCGAGAGAAAAGGAAAAGGCCUGAGUCACUAACUUUUGUAAGAUCUAGUAAUUAACUUUAAUAUCACACAUUGUUAGAAGUAAUAUUUGGGACAGUAAAAUAAGUUAUUCGAGCCAAUAAAUCCAAGACACAAAUUGAUAUUUUUCAAGAAACGAUACUUAAUGAGUUCAAAAUUUAUUUACAACGCAAAGAAUGAGAUAUAUAAUACUGGACUGCCUGAAUGUCUCUUAUCUUCUGAUCAUUUCUGGAGAUACUCCAAAAAUCAAGACGGUUAGCAGAACAGACCUCCAAUCUAUUGCGGCAACAGAGCAUUUUUCCCAUGUGAUAGUGCAUAUGACCAGAACUCGAGUGUUAGUGUGGCAUGUCAAGAAGAUUAACAGAGCGCAACCCACAUUCACUGUAAUGAACGAAAUGCCUAAAAACGGCGCCGCAUGUACAACAGUAAUUAGGGGCUUUUAUUAAUUAGCCAAUUAAGCUCAACUCUGAUCUUGAUCUCCUGUGCAUCCUGUCGCGCUUCGUUAACGGACAUGAUUUGAACGUCUGAAGCUCUUCAAGAUGAAGCAAUGCGUCUAAGUGAUCUUUGUAUGAGCUAUUAAAAUCAUAUUAUAUUAAUCAUUAUUAUCACUCUUUCUGU